rnacentral:rRNA from 1 species
GGGCUUACCAUGCAGUCGACGGAAGGCCCUGCUUUUGUGGGGUGCUCGAGUGGCGAACGGGUGAGUAACACGUGAGUAACCUGCCCUUGACUUUGGGAUAACUUCAGGAAACUGGGGCUAAUACCGGAUAGGAGCUCCUGCUGCAUGGUGGGGGUUGGAAAGUUUCGGCGGUUGGGGAUGGACUCGCGGCUUAUCAGCUUGUUGGUGGGGUAGUGGCUUACCAAGGCUUUGACGGGUAGCCGGCCUGAGAGGGUGACCGGCCACAUUGGGACUGAGAUACGGCCCACACUCCUACGGGAGGCAGCAGUGGGGAAUAUUGCACAAUGGGCGGAAGCCUGAUGCAGCAACGCCGCGUGCGGGAUGACGGCCUUCGGGUUGUAAACCGCUUUCGCCUGUGACGAAGCGUGAGUGACGGUUAUGGGUAAAGAAGCACCGGCAAACUACGUGCCAGCCCCCCCGGGGUUAAUAAAAGUGACACGGGCGGGUGGCC